CUACGGGUGGCUGCAGUGGGGAAUCUUAGACAAUGGGCGCAAGCCUGAUCUAGCCAUGCCGCGUGAGUGACGAAGGCCUUAGGGUCGUAAAGCUCUUUCGCUGGGGAAGAUAAUGACGGUACCCAGUAAAGAAACCCCGGCUAACUCCGUGCCAGCAGCCGCGGUAAUACGGAGGGGGUUAGCGUUGUUCGGAAUUACUGGGCGUAAAGCGCGCGUAGGCGGAUCAGAAAGUUGGGGGUGAAAUCCCGGGGCUCAACCCCGGAACUGCCUUCAAAACUCCUGGUCUUGAGUUCGAGAGAGGUGAGUGGAAUUCCGAGUGUAGAGGUGAAAUUCGUAGAUAUUCGGAGGAACACCAGUGGCGAAGGCGGCUCACUGGCUCGAUACUGACGCUGAGGUGCGAAAGCGUGGGGAGCAAACAGGAUUAGAUACCCGCGUAGUC
rnacentral:rRNA from 1 species